CGUAGGUGGCGAGCGUUGUCCGGAAUCACUGGGCGUAAAGGGCGCGUAGGCGGCAAUACAAGUCGCAUGUGAAAUACCAGGGCUCAACCCUGGGGGGCCAUGCGAAACUGUACAGCUUGAGUGCAGUAGAGGUAAGCGGAAUUCCUGGUGUAGCGGUAAAAUGCGUAGAGAUCAGGAGGAACACCGGUGGCGAAGGCGGCUUACUGGGCUGCAACUGACGCUGAGGCGCGAAAGCGUGGGGAGCAAACAGGAUUAGAUACCCUGGUAGUCCACGCGGUAAACGAUGAUUACUAGGUGUAGGGGACGCAGGUCUACUGUGCCGGAGCUAACGCAAUAAGUAAUCCGCCUGGGGAGUACGGCCGCAAGGUUG
rnacentral:rRNA from 1 species